AUAUCCUACAGUGGAACCCCCCAGAAGGCUUGCAAGGCAUGGAAGUUAGUUAUACUGUGCAGUAUUUCAUCACAAAUUGGCCCACCAGAGGUUGCUUUGACUACUGAUGAGAAAUCCAUUUCUAUUGUUCUGACGGCUCCAAAGAAGUGGAAGAAAAAUCCAGAAGAAAGCUCUAUUUCCAUGCAACAAAUAUACUCUAAUCUGAAGUAUAAUGUGUCCAUAUAUAAUACUAAAUCCAAUAGAACGUGGUCCCAGUGUGUGACAAACCACACCCUGGUGUUCAGCUGGCUGGAGCCGGACACUCUGUACUGUGUACUUGUGGAGUCCUUUGUCCCAGGCCCUCCUCGCAUCACUCACCCUUCUGAGAGGCAGUGUGUCAGUACUCUAGAAGAUCAAACAACAGCAUUGGAGGUUAAAAUCAUCCUCUGGUAUGUUUUGCCCAUAUCUGUUACUGUGUUUCUUUUCUCUGUGAUGGGUUACUCCAUGUACAGAUAUAUCCAUGUUGGCAAAGAGAAACACCCAGCAAAUCUGGUUUUGAUUUAUGGAAAUGAAUUUGACAAAAGAUUUUUUGUACCUACUGAAAAAAUUGUGAUUAACUUCAUUACCCUCAAUAUUUUGGAGGAUUCUAAAACUUCUCCCAAGGAUAUAAGUGUAAUGGAAAAAAGCAGUGAUGUGUCAGACCUGAAUGAGCCCAUCGAGGACCAGGAAGCCCACUGGGAGGAUGUGGAGGUGGAACACCUGGGCUAUGUGUCACAUGUGGUGGACACUGUGUAUGACUUUGAGAAAAGCUCCAAAGGGACUUCCUUAACCCAGCAAGAGCCACCCGGCAGAACAACGCCCAUGGAUAAAACAGUCAUUGAGUAUGAAUAUGAUGUAAGAAGUAGCGACAUUUCUGUGGGGCCUAGGGGACAGGAGUUCAAUUUGCAGGAGGAGGUGUCCCUACAAGGAAAGAUAUUUGAACAACAGGCAACUUUAGCAGGCUUGGGUCCACAAACACUGCUGUAUUCAUAUACCCCUCAGCUCAGAGACUUGGACCACCUGCGGCAGGGGCAUGUGGACACAGAGGAGGCCCCAGAGGAGGAGCCAUCCACCACACUCGUUGAUUGGGACCCUCAGACUGGCAAGCUGUGUAUACCGUCAUUACCCAGCUUUCAACAUGACCCAGAGGGAUGUGGACAUCCUGAAUCUGAGGGGCUCGGGGAGGAGGGCCUCUUAUCUAGACUCUAUCAGGAUCGGGCUCCAGACAAGGCACCGGAAGAAAAUGGAGCCUAUCUCAUGCAAUUCAAGGAAGAAUGGGGAUUAUAUGUACAAAUGGAAGACUAA
rnacentral:lncRNA from 1 species